GGGGAAUCUUGCGCAAUGGGCGAAAGCCUGACGCAGCCAUGCCGCGUGAAUGAUGAAGGUCUUAGGAUUGUAAAAUUCUUUCAGUAGGGACGAUAAUGACGGUACCUACAGAAGAAGCCCCGGCUAACUUCGUGCCAGCAGCCGCGGUAAUACGAAGGGGGCUAGCGUUGCUCGGAAUUACUGGGCGUAAAGGGCGCGUAGGCGGAUCGUUAAGUCAGAGGUGAAAUCCCAAGGCUCAACCUUGGAAUUGCCUUUGAUACUGGCGAUCUUGAGUGUGAGAGAGGUAUGUGGAACUCCGAGUGUAGAGGUGAAAUUCGUAGAUAUUCGGAAGAACACCAGUGGCGAAGGCGACAUACUGGCUCAUUACUGACGCUGAGGCGCGAAAGCGUGGGGAGCAAAC
rnacentral:rRNA from 1 species